GUCCACGCCGUAAACGAUGCUAACUCGUUUUGGGCUUUCGGGUUCAGAGACUAAGCGAAAGUGAUAAGUUAGCCACCUGGGGAGUACGUUCGCAAGAAUGAAACUCAAAGGAAUUGACGGGGGCCCGCACAAGCGGUGGAGCAUGUGGUUUAAUUCGAUGAUACGCGAGGAACCUUACCAAGACUUAAAUGGGAAAUGACAGAUUUUAGAAAUAGAUCCUUCUUCGGACAUUUUUCAAGGUGCUGCAUGGUUGUCGU
rnacentral:rRNA from 1 species